rnacentral:rRNA from 1 species
GACGAACGCUGGCGGCGUGCUUAACACAUGCAAGUCGAACGGAAAGGCCCUGCUUUUGUGGGGUGCUCGAGUGGCGAACGGGUGAGUAACACGUGAGUAGCCUGCCCUUGACUUUGGGAUAACUUCAGGAAACUGGGGCUAAUACCGGAUAGGAGCUCCUGCUGCAUGGUGGGGGUUGGAGAGUUUCGGCGGUUGGGGAUGGACUCGCGGCUUAUCAGCUUGUUGGUGGGGUAGUGGCUUACCAAGGCUUUGACGGGUAGCCGGCCUGAGAGGGUGACCGGCCACAUUGGGACUGAGAUACGGCCCAGACUCCUACGGGAGGCAGCAGUGGGGAAUAUUGCACAAUGGGCGGAAGCCUGAUGCAGCAACGCCGCGUGCGGGAUGACGGCCUUCGGGUUGUAAACCGCUUUCGCCUGUGACGAAGCGUGAGUGACGGUAAUGGGUAAAGAAGCACCGGCUAACUACGUGCCAGCAGCCGCGGUGAUACGUAGGGUGCGAGCGUUGUCCGGAUUUAUUGGGCGUAAAGGGCUCGUAGGUGGUUGAUCGCGUCGGAAGUGUAAUCUUGGGGCUUAACCCUGAGCGUGCUUUCGAUACGGGUUGACUUGAGGAAGGUAGGGGAGAAUGGAAUUCCUGGUGGAGCGGUGGAAUGCGCAGAUAUCAGGAGGAACACCAGUGGCGAAGGCGGUUCUCUGGGCCUUUCCUGACGCUGAGGAGCGAAAGCGUGGGGAGCGAACAGGCUUAGAUACCCUGGUAGUCCACGCUGUAAACGGUGGGUACUAGGUGUGGGGUCCAUUCCACGGGUUCCGUGCCGUAGCUAACGCUUUAAGUACCCCGCCUGGGGAGUACGGCCGCAAGGCUAAAACUCAAAGGAAUUGACGGGGCCCCGCACAAGCGGCGGAGCAUGCGGAUUAAUUCGAUGCAACGCGUAGAACCUUACCUGGGUUUGACAUGGAUCGGGAGUGCUCAGAGAUGGGUGUGCCUCUUUUGGGGUCGGUUCACAGGUGGUGCAUGGCUGUCGUCAGCUCGUGUCGUGAGAUGUUGGGUUAAGUCCCGCAACGAGCGCAACCCUUGUUCACUGUUGCCAGCACGUUAUGGUGGGGACUCAGUGGAGACCGCCGGGGUCAACUCGGAGGAAGGUGGGGAUGACGUCAAGUCAUCAUGCCCCUUAUGUCCAGGGCUUCACGCAUGCUACAAUGGCUGGUACAGAGAGUGGCGAGCCUGUGAGGGUGAGCGAAUCUCGGAAAGCCGGUCUCAGUUCGGAUUGGGGUCUGCAACUCGACCUCAUGAAGUCGGAGUCGCUAGUAAUCGCAGAUCAGCAACGCUGCGGUGAAUACGUUCCCGGG